ensembl:lncRNA
AUGCAAAUAAAGGACGCGUCAAAUAUCCCCGUCGCGCGCACUGCAGAGCAGAGACACACUGGGAUCGCACGAAGGACGCGAAGCACGGGGCACGCGGGGGAAUUUCAUACUACGUCGUCGCCAGGACCCGUCCAAUUGUCACAGCCACCGUUGCCAGAUGAACUGAGGCGGCUCCAGGAUCCUGCAGGCAAGAGGGUAAAAUCACAAGAAGAACCAACCUGCCCAGAUUCAACUGCAUUUUAUUCACCUUGUUUGGAGAUAACGAUACCGUGGCCGUUCUUCCAGAAUACCUACAGAAGACAAGUGUCAACUGUCGCUCUGCUCCAUCUCUGCAAUAUAUCAUAUACUACCUGUUGCUGCUAGUAACAACGGAGGGGAAGAGGGGGAGACACCUUGCGACACUUGGAUCUCUUAUAAACACACUUUGUAGGGAGUUGGAUUUCGCAACCUUUAAUCUUUUGCACACCAAGUGUGUUAUUUUGUCUAUGUCCAUUUUGGGAUAUUAGUGGUUUUAUCAUAUCUAUAGUGUACACGUUUUUAAAGUGCCUUACCGACUGAUAUUAAUCCAGUAUUUGGGCAGUAUUCCAACGCCAGAGACUCAACCAGUGACUAUCACAUAGAAAGGCACAGGAUCUGUCUCUAAAUCCCGGUUUCACCAUGAGUCAGGGGGAUGUGUCAACUUGCUCUGCGCCUCAGAUCGUUUUCCAAGAGGCGGUGAAACAAGGUAACACACAGGAACUCCACUCGUUGCUCCAGAACAUGACAAACUGCGAAUUCAACGUCAACUCCUUCGGGCCCGAAGGACAGACGGCGUUGCAUCAGUCAGUCAUCGACGGGAAUCUCGAACUUGUAAAACUGCUGGUGAAAUUUGGAGCCGAUAUUCGAUUGGCGAACAGGGAAGGGUGGAGUGCCUUACACAUAGCCGCUUUUGGAGGACACCAAGACAUAGUCCUAUACCUCAUCACUAAGGCCAAGUACUCCUCUGGUGCACGGUGAUCUGCUACACUGCUGUCAGGUAAACACACGGAAAGCCAGGCUCUUGUAAAUGAACGUUUCGAUCUAUAGUUGUGCCAAAUUAUAGCCUACAAAACACAGUAACUUCCCUUUCACCAAAACCAAACGGGGGUCUCACUCGUGAGUCGAACACCACAUGGUUCUUGUAUCCGCUUCAGCAUAAAAAACGCCAUUUUGGUGGGUUGGUACUAAAGCUUUUUCCUUGAACGUGUAUAAUAGAUUGGGACGUAUAAAAUAACUAAGCCAGUGUUUGGGUCCCGAGACCUCAUAGCCUAGUUUUACGCAGCGAUAGACUUUCUAUAUUUUUUUGUCGCGGUUACAUUGAAACACUUCUUUAUUGGGAUUAGUAUUGAGGUGUCGACCUGUAGCUGCGGUGGUCACUUGUAGGACCCGUUUAAAUGAUUUUCUAUACUAAAAGAUGGCACUUGUUGCUGUGGCUGCAUGCUGGAAUAUAUGAAAGGGAAGAAAUGGUGAAGACGGGAAAUGAAGGCCAUCCUGUAUUUGGCUAUAAUGUCUUUUUUAAAUUAUAGGAUUUGAUCUAUUUCAAAGAGCAACAUUAUUAGGACUAUAUAUAUACCCAACUGGCAUUUCCAGAUGUGUAAUCAUUGUAACAACUAUUGACUUAAUGUUGUUAAGUACUUUACACAAUAGCUUUACUUUGUUUGUUUAUAAUAAAAGUAGCUAAAUGCACCCUGCCUCCUUCGAGCAGGCUGCUGGCAUGUAUCAAUGUCUUUUCAGGCCAGUGCGACCGCAGUGUCAAUGGUUAAUGUGAUAUAAACCGCUGCUUUCGCUUUGUAUCAAAACGUCAGGAAAGUGGCAUUUGGAAUUCACUUUAAUCUCCUUUCAGUAUUUUAACGAACAACACCCUGGUCAUCACUGUGAAUACAGGCUGGUUUCUAUUUAUGAAGGUACAUUGACAAGAUGCAUUUUGAAUAUUCUGUGGUUAUUCUUUUCAAAUCAAAUCUGUUACGUUUAAGAAUAUUUAGGGUGACUUAUAAAGCUGCUUCAGACUCUAUGCUUAUCAUAGUAUAAACUAUCCUGUGUGGAGACCCCAUGUCACAAUGAGCCUAAAUUUGACCUACCUAAAGAGACUCUUCUUUGUCCCUCAUUAACUUCUUGUUUGGUUUUCUUUGCCAACUACCUCGACUGUAAAGUAUUCAAAAGCAUUGGACUCUUGCUCUCUCCACAACACUCCAGUAUGGACACACAUCCUCUAGCACAGUGGUUCCUAACCGUUUCAGGUUACUGUACCUGAAGUACCCCCAGUAGAUGGGCCAAGAGGGGACCGCUGAUCUAGCCUAUCCCCAAAUCCCAAGCCUGUCUAUAGGCCAAAAUAAUGCUCAUACCCACACAGACAUUUUAACUAAGUUAUUUUAGCAGUAGGCCCCAAGCCAAUGUUAUUCAACCCAGUGAUAUAGGCUAGGAGACAACUAUGCUGUUUCUUCUGCAAAGCAAUAAUGUCUAUUUCAUAUUAAUCAAGCCCGUUUCUUAUCAUCAUCUGGGAUUCAUUUAUUUCCCACACUACAACCAAACUUUAAUCUGACAAGCAAAGCGUUUUUUUUGCCUUUCUGUAAAGGUAUGGUUGCAAACACACAUUGCCUAUUUUUUUUAUUUUUAUGCAUUAUAUAGUCGUUCUGUUUGAAGUUUCUAUUUAGUCACAAAAAUUGCAUUUUAUUGCCUGACUUAUAAAUGCAGGAAGUUUUAUUGCACAAAAUGCAGAGCCUUUUACGCCCCCUGGUGCCUGUCCGGGUGACUGCAGGAGUUGAGGCUCAGAAAUAGUUACUACUGAGCAGUAAAAACAUUUUAUUACUGUCAUGUUAUGAUGACUAACAUCUACAUGACUAUUGCAGGAUAUAUAUAUAUAAAACAAAUGGUUUAAACUGCCUACUGCAUUUUGAAAGUCAUGGCACCCUAAUGUUUGUUUCAAUGCUGCUUGUAUGUUUUAUAUUUGAUUUUACUCAAUGGCCAACAGUAAGUGAAAGACAAAUAUCUGAUAGCAUCACAGUCAUUCAAUGAAAAUCUGUGUGUGUGUGUGUGUGUGUGUAUAUGUCUCUGUGUGUGCUGCAUUCAUCUGACUGUUGUGUGCCGAGUGAGUUGAGCUGUGUUCCCCUUCCCUGGCCUGUGUGGCCUGCUCCUCUCCUCGAGUGUGUGGCCUGCUCCUCUCCUCGAGUGUGUGGCCUGCUCCUCUCCUCGAGUGUGUGGCCUGCUCCUCUCCUCGAGUGUGUGGCCUGCUCCUCUCCUCGAGUGUGUGGCCUGCUCCUCUCCUCGAGUGUGUGGCUUUAUGUUGCUACCUGGGAGUUUUCCCUCCCUACAGUAAGGAGAGAAACCAGGGAUUAAGGAUUGUCCUUCCAUGUACCUGGAAAAGCAAACUAAAGCGAUUAGAAAGAAACAUCAAGAAUAGAUUGGUAUUAGCGGAACAAAAAAAUAUGCAUCGCUUGUCUUAAACCUGAUAUUUUUUAUAUAUAUAUAUAUAUAUAUAUAUGUAUGUAUGUGUAUAUAUAUAUUUUAAAUAUUGCACUGACUGUUGUUGAUUAAGUUGGCUUUUUAUCAAGUCAAAUUGUAUUGUUUUUCCGAAUAGAAAAAAAAAGGAACACAACAAAAUACUAUUGUAUAAAAACAACUCCAGGCUGUAAUGUUUUGUGUGUUAACUUUGUGAAACAUUGUGUUAAGGCAAAGAUUGUUUGAAUCUUUGUGAUCGGGUGGGUAUGUGUUUUAUAUACAGUGCCAGUCAAAGGUUUGGACAACAAGACUCAUUCAAGGGUGUAAAAAACAUAAUAAAGAAAACCCCUGGAAUGAGUAGGUGUCCAAACCUUUGACUGGUACUGUGUAUAUAUAUAUAUAUAUUAUAUAAUAUGCUGAAAUAUCUUGGAGCACUUUCUUUUCUGAAGUGCUGCCUCCCUCCUGUUGUUAUGAAAGGGGAAAAAUACAUUUGAUGGUAAGAUCAUUGUGACAAAAAAAAUUGCACAGCAUGUGGUUGUUCUACUCAAGUGUCAUAACAUUUAUGGCCCGAGAGACGACGACUGGAUAGGUGGAAAUGAAUGAGAGAGGACGACUGGAUAGGUGGAAAUGAAUGAGAGACGACGACUGGAUAGGUGGAAAUGAAUGAGAGACGACGACUGGAUAGGUGGAAAUGAAUGAGAGAGGACGACUGGAUAGGUGGAAAUGAAUGAGAGACGACGACUGGAUAUGUGGAAAUGAAUGAGAGACGACGACUGGAUAGGUGGAAAUGAAUGAGAGAGGACGACUGGAUAGGUGGAAAUGAAUGAGAGAGGACGACUGGAUAGGUGGAAAUGAAUGAGAGAGGACGACUGGAUAGGUGGAAAUGAAUGAGAGAAAGUGCUGACGUUUUUUAAAGUUUUUUGGGGGGGGGGCAUGUUCUGUUUUCAUUUUGCUUUUUUUCGAGCGAAACAAAAACAAAUGUCUGAGUUUAAUGAUUGAUGCUGAAGUUCCAUGGUGUUUUGAUUUUGGGUUUUCUUGUUUUUGUUCUGUAUUUUGUUUUUGAACGUUUGUAACACUGUGAUCAUGAUGUGUGUUGAGAAAAUGAGUGCUGUAAUAUUUUUGUACGUUUGUGUACAAGCCAGUAAAAAAAAUCUUUAAACUCUGUGUGUCUAUGCAUGUUUCUUUUUCCCUACCCCCAGGCAGUGCCAGCCCCCAUUACCCAUAGAGAAGAAUGGUGAGGGGCACAGACCCCCUCUCCCGUUCUCCCAGGCUAGCCCAGAUCCCCUCUUCCCCCUCUUCUCUCCCGUUCUCCCAGGCUAGCCCAGAUCCCCUCUUCCCCCUCCUCUCUCCCGUUCUCCCAGGCUAGCCCAGAUCCCCUCUUCCCCCUCUCCCCUCCUCUCUCCCGUUCUCCCAGGCUAGCCCAGAUCCCCUCUUCCCCCUCCUCUCUCCCGUUCUCCCAGGCUAGCCCAGAUCCCCUCUUCCCCCUCUCCCCUCCUCUCUCCCGUUCUCCCAGGCUAGCCCAGAUCCCCUCUCCCCUCCUCUCUCCCGUUCUCCCAGGCUAGCCCAGAUCCCCUCUUCCCACUCUCCCCUCCUCUCUCCCGUUCUCCCAGGCUAGCCCAGAUCCUCUCUCCCCUCUCCCCUCCUCUCUCCCCCUCUCCCAGGCUAGCCCAGAUCCUCUCUCCCCCUCUCCCAGGCUAGCCCAGAUCCUCUCUCCCCCUCUCCCCACCUCUCUCCCCCUCUCCCAGGCUAGCCCAGAUCCUCUCUCCCCCUC